rnacentral:piRNA from 1 species
AAGAAGCACCGUGUCAUUUGCCAGA